rnacentral:rRNA from 1 species
AUGGCUUCCGUUGCCGCGUCGCUCGUCGGUCUGCGCGCGCGGCGUCUCUUCGGGGUCGGGGUCGGGUCAGGUCGGGUCGGGUGCCCACAUCAUGCGGUACUUUGCAAACUCAAGUGCGACGGACGGACAAGAGCAACGCGGAGAUUCUCCUGGUCAGCUCAACAAACGGUCAUUGUAUGGAUCGUUUAUUUAUCAGAAAUACUAACCCCCACGCAUCUCGCCCACGCGCAUGCAUGGAUCAACGUCGGUUUGAGUUUGCACAAAUCUUGUCAUGUUUUGCUAGAUUUUUUAUGCCACGUAGGAUUGGGUUGGUGUGUGGGCAUUCAUCCGGUCACCCACGCGUCCGUUUUCACAUGCGGGAUGUUGGUGUGUGGCGUUUAG